rnacentral:rRNA from 1 species
CUCAGGAUGAAUGCUGGCGGCGUGCCUAAUACAUGCAAGUCGAGCGGUAAGGCCCUUCGGGGUACACGAGCGGCGGACGGCUGAGUAACGCGUGGGAACAUGCCCCAAAGUGAGGGAUAACGCACCGAAAGGUGUGCUAAUACCGCAUAUGGUCUUCGGAUUAAAGGAUUUAUCCGCUUUGGGAGUGGCCCGCGUACGAUUAGAUUGUUGGUGAGGUAACGGCUCACCAAGUCGACGAUCGUUAACUGGUCUGAGAGGAUGAUCAGUCAGACUGGAACUGAGACACGGUCCAGACUCCUACGGGAGGCAGCAGUAAGGAAUCUUCCACAAUGGGCGAAAGCCUGAUGGAGCAACGCCGCGUGCAGGAUGAAGGCCCUCGGGUCGUAAACUGCUUUUAUGAGUGAAGAAUAUGACGGUAACUCAUGAAUAAGCACCGGCUAACUACGUG